rnacentral:ncRNA from 1 species
GUUUAGGGCAAAACCGUCGAAAGGCGGUGACGCAAAGCUAUGGUGUCUAAAAGGGAAACCAAAUGAUCGACCGGCUGCAG